rnacentral:rRNA from 1 species
CGGACGGGUGAGUAAUGUCUGGGAAACUGCCUGAUUGAGGGGGAUAACUACUGGAAACGGUAGCUAAUACCGCAUAACGUCGCAAGACCAAAGAGGGGGACCUUCGGGCCUCUUGCCAUCAGAUGUGCCCAGAUGGGAUUAGCUAGUAGGUGGGGUAACGGCUCACCUAGGCGACGAUCCCUAGCUGGUCUGAGAGGAUGACCAGCCACACUGGAACUGAGACACGGUCCAG